AUUGCACCUGCACUAAGAUCUGUUUCCAAUCUUUUUUUUCUUCUUCUUCUUCUUCCCAAAGUCCUCUGGUACAUAGUUGCAUAUUCUAGUUGUGAGUGCCUCUGGUUGUGCUAUAUGGGACACUGCCUCAACAGGACCUGAUGAGCAGUGCCAUGUCCACACCCAGGAUCCGAACUGGCAGAACCCUGGGCCGCCGAAGUGGAGCACAUGAGCUUAACCACUCGGCCAUGGGCCCAGACCCCAUACAGCUGUUUUUAAUGUUUUAACCUCCCACAACUCACUCUAGCUUCUAUUUCACAAGUUUUACGUGGUCUAUUGUGUCUCCAGCUCUAAUUUCUUGCCCUAGGUAUCUGUAGAUCUAUAGACCCCCUGCAGCAUUCACGGCAGUGGCCACCACUUUUCCUCACAUGAGAUCCAACUCAGGUGAGACUGAGAUCAGUCCUUCAGGCAGUCCCAAGACUGAUUAGAACAAAUCAAAUAAGUUAUGCUUAGCUACCUCCAGCUGAAGCAAGGAAAUUGGAAGCUGGGCUAUUACCUCUUCCAGAUCAAGUCUGGAGGGGUUAGGACAGGGGUCCUUCUGGUUGUGCUAUGUGGGAUGCUGCCUCAGCACGGCCUGAUGAGUGGUGGCAUGUCUGCGCCCAGGAUCUGAGCCAGUGAAACUUUGGGCCACCAAAGUGGAGCAUGCAAACCUAACCACUCGGCCAUGAGGUAUCUUGGAGACCCACUUUCCAUUGGACUGGUGAAUAUUAUUGUCCUGAGGCAGAAGAUUAAACGAGUCUUCUUGUCACUCCAAGAAGAAAGGCCAUGGAUACUGAAAUCAUGGGUUCCCCAACAAAACAUCCCAGCAAGAUCACCCUACAGUGAAGUUUACAAUCAGAAACUAUGCUCAUGUGCUCAGAGAUUCCAACCAGCUUUUUACUCCCCCCACUGUUAUAUACAGCAGCAAUCAAAUAUUUCUAGACAUAUGAUGAUAAUUUCUAACAUAAAAGAUAGAUAUUAAAACAAAAAAAUGGAGAAAAAUAAACAACUUGUAUAGAACAGAGACUAUGAAGGAGAAGAAAAC
rnacentral:lncRNA from 1 species